AUUGAACGCUGGCGGCAGGCCUAACACAUGCAAGUCGAGCGGAUGAAGGGAGCUUGCGCCUGGAUUCAGCGGCGGACGGGUGAGUAAUGCCUAGGAAUCUGCCUGGUAGUGGGGGAUAACGUCCGGAAACGGGCGCUAAUACCGCAUACGUCCUGAGGGAGAAAGUGGGGGAUCUUCGGACCUCACGCUAUCAGAUGAGCCUAGGUCGGAUUAGCUAGUUGGUGGGGUAAAGGCCUACCAAGGCGACGAUCCGUAACUGGUCUGAGAGGAUGAUCAGUCACACUGGAGCUGAGACACGGUCCAGACUCCUACGGGAGGCAGCAGUGGGGAAUAUUGGACAAUGGGCGAAAGCCUGAUCCAGCCAUGCCGCGUGUGUGAAGAAGGUCUUCGGAUUGUAAAGCACUUUAAGUUGGGAGGAAGGGCAGUAAGUUAAUACCUUGCUGUUUUGACGUUACCAACAGAAUAAGCACCGGCUAACUUCGUA
rnacentral:rRNA from 1 species